UACGUAGGGGGCGAGCGUUGUCCGGAUUUAUUGGGCGUAAAGGGCGUGUAGGCGGCCUUGUAAGUCAGAGGUGAAAACCCAGAGCUCAACUCUGGGAGUGCCUCUGAAACUGCUUGGCUUGAGUGCUCUAGAGGGCAGUGGAAUUGCCGGUGUAGCAGUGAAAUGCGUAGAGAUCGGCAGGAACACCAGUGGCGAAGGCGACUGCCUGGGGAGUAACUGACGCUGAGGCGCGAAAGCUGGGGGAGCAAACGGGAUUAGAAACCCCCGUAGUCC
rnacentral:rRNA from 1 species